GCUAGCUACAGGCUUAACACAUGCAAGUCGAGGGGCAGCAUCAUCAAAGCUUGCUUUGAUGGAUGGCGACCGGCGCACGGGUGAGUAACACGUAUCCAACCUGCCGACAACACUGGGAUAGCCUUUCGAAAGAAAGAUUAAUACCGGAUGGCAUAGUUUUCCCGCAUGGGAUAAUUAUUAAAGAAUUUCGGUUGUCGAUGGGGAUGCGUUCCAUUAGGCAGUUGGCGGGGUAACGGCCCACCAAACCAACGAUGGAUAGGGGUUCUGAGAGGAAGGUCCCCCACAUUGGAACUGAGACACGGUCCAAACUCCUACGGGAGGCAGCAGUGAGGAAUAUUGGUCAAUGGACGAGAGUCUGAACCAGCCAAGUAGCGUGAAGGAUGACUGCCCUAUGGGUUGUAAACUUCUUUUAUACGGGAAUAAAGUGAGCCACGUGUGGCUUUUUGUAUGUACCGUAUGAAUAAGGAUCGGCUAACUCCGUGCCAGCAGCCGCGGUAAUACGGAGGAUCCGAGCGUUAUCCGGAUUUAUUGGGUUUAAAGGGAGCGUAGGCGGGUUGUUAAGUCAGUUGUGAAAGUUUGCGGCUCAACCGUAAAAUUGCAGUUGAUACUGGCGACCUUGAGUGCAACAGAGGUAGGCGGAAUUCGUGGUGUAGCGGUGAAAUGCUUAGAUAUCACGAAGAACUCCGAUUGCGAAGGCAGCUUACUGGAUUGUAACUGACGCUGAUGCUCGAAAGUGUGGGUAUCAAACAGGAUUAGAUACCCUGGUAGUCCAUACAGUAAACGAUGAAUACUCGCUGUUGGCGAUAUACAGUCAGCGGCCAAGCGAAGGCAUUAAGUAUUCCACCUGGGGAGUACGCCGGCAACGGUGAAACUCAAAGGAAUUGACGGGGGCCCGCACAAGCGGAGGAACAUGUGGUUUAAUUCGAUGAUACGCGAGGAACCUUACCCGGGCUUAAAUUGCAACUGACUGAACCGGAAACGGUUCUUUCUUCGGACAGUUGUGAAGGUGCUGCAUGGUUGUCGUCAGCUCGUGCCGUGAGGUGUCGGCUUAAGUGCCAUAACGAGCGCAACCCUUACGGGUAGUUACCAUCAGGUUAUGCUGGGGACUCUACCCGGACUGCCGUCGUAAGAUGUGAGGAAGGUGGGGAUGACGUCAAAUCAGCACGGCCCUUACGUCCGGGGCUACACACGUGUUACAAUGGGGGGUACAGAAGGCAGCUACACGGCGACGUGGUGCUAAUCCCGAAAGCCUCUCUCAGUUCGGAUUGGAGUCUGCAACCCGACUCCAUGAAGCUGGAUUCGCUAGUAAUCGCGCAUCAGCCACGGCGCGGUGAAUACGUUCCCGGGCCUUGUACACACCGCCCGUCAAGCCAUGAAAGCCGGGGGUACCUGAAGUACGUAACCGCGAGGAGCGUCCUAGGGUAAAACUGGUGAUUGGGGC
rnacentral:rRNA from 1 species